AUACCUAACAGACGGAGUUCUCUUGAAAGUCUUUCCAACCCGGUGCUGAGCCAAUAUUCAGCCAUCAUAUUAGAUUCAUGUUCUACAGUGUUUUUGUCUUUGAAGAUCACCUAUCAUUUGAGUUGAUGCCUGCACAGUUCCAAUGGAGGAACCGAAUCUAUAAGGAGGAGCAACGUCAGCUGCAGAUAAGGCCAAGGGAGCAGGCGGAGGUAAAGAUGGUGGCCAUCAUUGAGAAUUGUUUUUCCGUGGAGCCAAAGAAGGGAUUGAUUCUUCGACACUUUGUUGGAAGUAAAACAUAAAUGAGUUGUAUUUAUGUGUUAUCGGAUGUUCAAUACAAAGGAAACACCCAACAUUUUUAAAAUGGCAGUCUCGAUGCAGGAACCGUAGCUGUGUGACAAUCUGCAGCUGUGUGCUUCGUCGCGUAUGUAUUUCUUUCCAUUUGCCUCCAUCUGUGGGAUGAUAUUUGUUUUGCUCACUUUGUCAAGCUGACUUGCUUUUACACUUUGUGUUUAGUAGAUUGGUUUAAGUGUUCA